rnacentral:rRNA from 1 species
UACAGAGGUCCCGAGCGUUGUUCGGAUUCACUGGGCGUAAAGGGUGCGUAGGUGGCCUGAAAAGUUUGAUGUGAAAGCUCAGGGCUUAACCCUGGAAUGGCAUUGAAUACUGUCGGGCUGGAGGUUUGGAGGGGGGACUGGAAUUCUUGGUGUAGCAGUGAAAUGCGUAGAUAUCAAGAGGAACACCAGUGGCGAAGGCGAGUCCCUGGACAACACCUGACACUGAGGCACGAAAGCUAGGGGAGCAAACAGG